AGCAGUAGCCGCGGGAAUACAGAGGAUGCAAGCGUUAUCCGGAAUGAUUGGGCGUAAAGGGCUCGCAGGCGGUUUCUUAAGUCUGAUGUGAAAGCCCCCGGCUCAACCGGGGAGGGUCAUUGGAAACUGGGAAACUUGAGUGCAGAAGAGGAGAGUGGAAUUCCACGUGUAGCGGUGAAAUGCGUAGAGAUGUGGAGGAACACCAGUGGCGAAGGCGACUCUCUGGUCUGUAACUGACGCUGAGGAGCGAAAGCGUGGGGAGCGAACAGGAUUAGAUACCCCAGUAGUCCCUGUCUCUUAUAC
rnacentral:rRNA from 1 species